rnacentral:rRNA from 1 species
GACGUAGGGCGCGAGCGUUGUCCGGAUUUAUUGGGCGUAAAGAGCUCGUAGGCGGCUUGUCGCGUCGACUGUGAAAUCCCGCGGCUCAACCGCGGGUCUGCAGUCGAUACGGGCAGGCUAGAGUUCGGUAGGGGAGACUGGAAUUCCUGGUGUAGCGGUGAAAUGCGCAGAUAUCAGGAGGAACACCGGUGGCGAAGGCGGGUCUCUGGGCAGUAACUGACGCUGAGGAGCGAAAGCGUGGGUAGCAAACAGG